UACGAAGGGGGCUAGCGUUGCUCGGAAUUACUGGGCGUAAAGGGCGCGUAGGCGGACAGUUUAGUCAGAGGUGAAAGCCCAGGGCUCAACCUCGGAACUGCCUUCGAUACUGCGGGUCUCGAGUCCGGGAGAGGUGAGUGGAAUUCCUAGUGUAGAGGUGAAAUUCGUAGAUAUUAGGAAGAACACCAGUGGCGAAGGCGGCUCACUGGCCCGGUACUGACGCUGAGGCGCGAAAGCGUGGGGAGCAAACAGG
rnacentral:rRNA from 1 species